UCGCUCUUCAACGAGGAAUCCCUAGUAAGCACAAGUCAUCAGCUUGUGCUGAUUACGUCCCUGCCCUUUGUACACACCGCCCGUCGCUACUACCGAUUGAAUGGCUUAGUGAGACCCUCGGAUCGACUCGCGGAAGCCUUAACCGGCAUCCGUUUGUUGAGAAGUUGGUCAAACUUGGUCAUUUAGAGGAAGUAAAAGUCGUAACAAGGUUUCCGUAGGUGAACCUGCGGAAGGAUCAUUAAAAAAAAUGGGGUAUUUAUACCUCUUGUAUUUAAAACAACUCUUUAAUAAACAUUUUUUAAAUAAAAAUAAAAACUUUCAACAACGGAUCUCUUGGCUCUCGCAUCGAUGAAGAACGUAGCGAAGUGCGAUAAGUAUUGUGAAUUGCAGAAUUCCGUGAAUCAUCGAAUCUUUGAACGCAAAUUGCACUUUCUGGUAUUCCAGAAAGUAUGCCUGUUUGAGGGUCAGUUAAAUAAAAAUCGGCGUCGUUGCUGCCUUUCGUGGUGACGCGUCGGAAUUGAGUCGUCUUACCCUCCGGUUAAGUGACUUAAAAUUUUGUAUGAUUUUCGAACGUAUUUAAAAUUGCUUACGUACGUUUGAGAUAUCGAAUGUUUAUUAGGUUCGGUCAUCCUCAUGACACGCGCCUAUAAUUUUUCAUUAAAUGACCUCAAAUCAGGUAAGAAUACCCGCUGAACUUAAGCAUAUCAAUAAGCGGAGGAAAAGAAAAUAACAAUGAUUCCCUUAGUAACGGCGAGUGAAGGGGGAAAAGCUCAAAUUUUAAAUCUGCUAGGUUUUACCUGUCAGAAUUGUAAUUUGAAGAAGCGUUUUCCACGUCUCGGUUGGCCCAAAUCCUUUGGGAUAAGGUAUCAUGGAGGGUGAGAAUCCCGUUCGGUUGACCUUAUGACGCACUACGAUACGCUUUCUAAGAGUCGAGUUGUUUGGGAUUGCAGCUCAAAAUGGGAGGUAAAUUUCUCCUAAGGCUAAAUAUCGGCGAGAGACCGAUAGCGAACAAGUACCGUGAGGGAAAGAUGAAAAGAACUUUGAAAAGAGAGUAAAAUAGUACGUGAAAUUGUUGAAAGGGAAACGAUUGAAGUCAGUCGUACCGACGAGAAAUCAGCUUAUCGUGUGUUAACUUGUGGGCGUGCGUGAGUUUCGGCCUCGCUAUUUGCAUGUUUGUGCGCUUUGGGUGUACUUUUUCGUAUGGUUGGCCAACAUCAGUUUCGAUCACUAUAAAAUGACUGGCGGAAUGUAGCUUCGAUUUCGUAUCGAAGUGUUAUAGACUCUGGUAGAUGUGACGAUUGGGAUUGAGGAUUGCAACGGAUACCCUUCGGGGCUACCCGUCUGAUCUCUGAAGGUUGCUCCGGUGCCGAAAGCGUGCUUAUGGUCAUCGAAAGUGAUCGUCAAAAGGUUAGAACGGGUUAAAUUCGUUAAGGAUGUUGACGUAAUGGCUUUAAACGACCCGUCUUGAAACACGGACCAAGGAGUCUAACAUAUAUGCGAGUGUUA
rnacentral:rRNA from 1 species